rnacentral:rRNA from 1 species
UACGUAGGGGGCAAGCGUUGUCCGGAAUCAUUGGGCGUAAAGAGCGUGUAGGCGGCCAGAAAAGUCCGCUGUGAAAUCCCGAGGCUCAACCUCGGGUCUGCAGUCGAUACGAGCAAACUAGAGUGUUGCAGGGGAGACUGGAAUUCCUGGUGUAGCGGUGAAAUGCGCAGAUAUCAGGAGGAACACCGGUGGCGAAGGCGGGUCUCUGGGCAACAACUGACGCUGAGGAGCGAAAGCGUGGGGAGCGAACAGG